rnacentral:rRNA from 1 species
UACGUAGGGGGCAAGCGUUGUCCGGAUUUAUUGGGCGUAAAGAGCGUGUAGGCGGCCACACAGGUCAGCUGUGAAAACUCGAGGCUCAACCUCGAGACGUCGGUUGAAACCGUAUGGCUAGAGUCCGGAAGAGGAGAGUGGAAUUCCCGGUGUAGCGGUGAAAUGCGCAGAUAUCGGGAAGAACACCCGUGGCGAAGGCGGCUCUCUGGGACGGUACUGGACGCUGAGACGCGAAAGCGUGGGGAGCGAACAGG